AUAGUUACCUGAUAGGGGAGACACCAUGAUCAUGAAGGUGGUUCUAGGGGCGAGGCUCAUCCAUUGCAUUCCGGAUGUGUUGACCCCUGUGAUUUUUCCAAAUGUGGGAAACUUGACUGCAUAAUUUGUGGUCAGGGGACUGCAUUUGAGCUCUCCCUUG